AAAAGUCACAUCUCAGACAAAACUCUAAUAAGCACGAAUUAAACCUAAGAGUUUUAAUUCGGAAGGUAGGAGAAGCUACGGAUGGAGUGCUAAUAAGGACUCGAGGGUUUCAAAAUUCUUACGAAUUUGUUUUCUACACGGAGAUCAUUGCGAUGUUCACCAUAAAAGGGACUCUUGACAUCUAUAAGAUUAUAUGAAUACUUUAGAUACCUUUUGAUGUUCUUUCAAUAAUUUUUCAGGGACAUUGUGAUCUUCAAUCUAACCUAAAUCCGUUGGAGUAUAAGUAUUUUGAGAUUCGAGAAAGAUGAAGAUCACAACUUGGUAUUAAAUUGUAACGGAGUGAAUCCAUGAUCGAGUGGUAAAGUAUCUCUUUCAAAGCUCUUCGAAGAGGUCAGAAAUUGAAACAACAAAUCUUUCCGGGAAAAUGGAUGCUUCAAGUUGCCGUUUUAGUCUUUCAUCCAUUGCCGGGAGAUCUCAAAACGAUCCAAAUUAUCUUUCAUUGGUUCCUGUUUAAGGUUGGGUACGUAACUAAAGAGAUUAUGCAGGCAAAAAACUUUUAUCUGGCUCCGGUGAUCCUAAUUCACUCAAUAAUAUGGAAAAAAGAUGUGGACGUGGGUUGAACAAGCUAGAUCGAAAGAUGCGACUGGAUUUAGUAGAUGACAUGUUUACUUGAGUUGAAAAUUUCGACAAGAUUGAAUUUUGCAAGUCCAAGCUGAAAACAUUCGCAGAUUGGUGUUGGGAUACGAACACCAUGGUGUCAGAUUUUUCAAUUGGGUUCUCUGAUUUUGUACGUGUUCACAUUCUUUUUACUGUUAUAGGGUUUGUAAAAUUCCUAAUCUGGGUUUAUUGAUUGAUCAAACCAACACUACUUCAAUUGUUCACAACAGAGGUCGUUAUCUCCCGAAGAGAGUUCAGACCCAGCAAUCCAAUAGGUUACUGAUUUAGGCUUUGUUUAAUUUGUUAUUUAUCACCAGCGAAAAUUAAGUAUAACACGAUUUCCAGAUGUGUACUUACCUAAAUGUAAUUUAUUGCUUAACGUUCUUUUUGAUACCUGUUGACACUGAAAUAACCUUAUGGAAUGUGGAAUGUUACUCA